rnacentral:siRNA from 1 species
UCAAGUAUUCCAGAUGGUAGAA